rnacentral:tRNA from 1 species
GGCGCUAUGUUGGAACUGGUAGACAAGACGGACUCAAAAUCCGUUGUGAGCAAUCACGUGAGAGUUCGAUUCUCUCUGGCGCUACCA